UAGAACUGUAAUUGAAGAAAAUAAGAGAAAUUAUUAAUUUUAUGUGAGUUUAGAGCAUAAAAAUUUUCUUUUAUGUUUAAUAUUUCUCAAAAAUGUGCCAAUAAUACAAAUAUAUGCGCUUAUAUGAUUACUUGCGCGUUUAAGUAAUGCAUGUGUAAUAUGAGACGCCGGAUCAACUUGUGAGAAAAAUAAUCGUGUGUGUAAUUUUCAAAGUUAUUACUCAUAGAAAAUUGCAAUUGUUUUGGAAUGCGCCUGGCAGCACUGGCUGGUGUGCAUUGAAAGCGUGACUAACGGCUAAGUGAGCGAAACCAAAUAUCAAAUUAAUACAGGAAAAUUGCAAAUAUACAAUCAUCGACUAUCAUCGAAUAUAUAAAUUAUUAGAAAAAAAAAUUUAGUCAGUCAUCAGCAGUGACUAUUAUUUGGUGUGCUUGUAGGCAACUGCGGCAGAAAACAUUCCUGAAGUCCUUGGCCGGAUAAAAAUUGGGGUUCGUUGCGGUUACUUAGACCCGACUGUCGUGGAAACGAUUUAAUUGUUGCAGUUGUAGAUUGCUUUAAAAACAUGAAUUUAUAAUAAUAAAAAAAACUACUUUCGUCCACGCAAAUAUUUAAAAUAUUUAAAUAUUUCAGCAAAGAAAGAAAGUAAUAUGGAAUAAAAGAAUUAAUUUAAUCAUAUAUGAAGAACAUCGAAUUAUUUCUUGAACCGUAUCGUAUAGUAAUUACACUUUAAUUAAAUUUUAUAAUUUUGAAAUUUUUGUAAUUCAUUUGCAGCAGUUUUUUAUAUUUAAUUUGAAAUAUUGACUGUUGUCUUUUCUUUUUUACUAUUUUUUGUUACUAAUAUUAAUUUUUAUUUUUAAUCUUUAAAAACUUAUUUUAAUUCUUUAUUUUAUCAAUUUAAAUAAAAGUUUUCUUUCCAAUUUUCGUAUUGUUUCGUAUUGUUUAAAUCUUCAAGCUUGAUAAUAUUGACAGUUUAGAAAUUAAUUUUUGUGUUUUUGACGAAACUAUUUAUUAUUGUUACAUAACUUUAGAAUCUAAUUUAUUCAUUUGAUAUAAUAUUUAUUUAUUUCCUUACUAUUAGUUAUGUUUUGCAAAUUAAGUACACAUUUUAAUAUAUAUUUUAGUAACCAGACGAAUACUUAUUUUUUCUUUCCACAACAUCACAGACGCACUUUUAUCUAUUUUAAUUACUUAUUAAAUUAAUUUAAAAAUUUGAUUUAAUAUUUUGUUAAAUAAAUAUGCCCAAUUUGUAAUAAAUAUUUUACUGCAUUUUUCACUUCUAUUUGCAUUGUUAAUUUUUUGCAUUCUCAUCAGCAGCCGCCAUUAGAAAUCAGCGCACACAAUGGAGACUCAAAUCAAAUACAUACACAAACAUACACAUGUUUUUGCGAAAAAUAUUGCAAAUAGUAAAUCGCAACAACAAAAAGAAGUUAACAAUAAUGCAACAGCUGCGCGCCAACAUAAAAAAUGCAACAAAAAAAUUACACUAAUGACAACCACAACAAAAACAAACACACUACGGCAAAAAAGAAGCACUAAAAAUCACAAUUGUUUUUGUUUUACAACUGAUACAACAAACAAAGUGGGCGCUGUUAUAAUAAUUGUCAAGCAAAUGUUUUUCAAGGCUGCAGCUGGACCAGAAGUCAGCGGCAAAUCUGGAGUCGCGUUCAAAACAAAAUAAAACCGUGAAGAAUGAAGUAAAGCGCGGAGGAGAGACGAACAUUUAUCGAAUUCUUACAUUUGUUGCAAAAUAAUGGCGAAUUCGUGUGGUUGCGACGAUUGCGAUCGCUACUGAGAAGCUCCAAGCACCAACCAUCGAACAAACUGGCACCCAGUCUAAUAUACUUGUAUAUGUAUAUAUGUAUGUGUGAACACAGCGUUCGUCCAGCAUAGCAGCCAAGCUCACAACUGACGCACCAAGAUAGCAACUGAACCGGAUUGAGUUGUGAACAGAAACUCUAGCUGGCGGUGCUAAACACACACAUACACACAUAAGUGCAUAUGUGUGUAUGCAUGUAUACGAUUUCACCACGAAUUUUCAAGCUGAGUUGAACUUGAACGAGGCAGGCAAGAAAUACAAGUCGUGACUGGAGAAGCACUAUUUCGGAGUGAAAUCGAAGACACUACAAAAUAUAUACAUACAUACACACAUAAGGUCUUUCCUAGAGACAGCUGAUUUGUCGAAACUGUCGAUAUCGGACCACUAUAGCAUAUACUAUGUAUACAACUACACUGGCAUACAAACUGAAGGAUCAAAAUUAAAAUCAAGUGCAACCGAAGUUAACGUUUUUACUUGUUUUGUUAUAAUUUUUAUUUAUUAUUAUUAUUAUUUGUUUUAUUAUUACUACUUUUUAUUAAUAGCUUUUUAUAAUUACUAUAUUCUUAUUAUAAAUCUUAUUUUAUUAUUAUUUUU